rnacentral:rRNA from 1 species
CCUACGGGAGGCAGCAGUGGGGGAUAUUGGACAAUGGGCGGAACCCUGAUCCAGCGACGCCGCGUGAGUGAAGAAGUCUUUCGGUUUGUAAACCUCUUUUAGCAGGGACGAAAGAAAUGACGGUACCUGACCAAGAAGCCACGGCUAACUACGUGCCAGCAGCCGCGGUAAUACGUAGGGGGCAAGCGUUAUCCGGAAUUACUGGGUGUAAAGGGCGUGUAGACGGUUAUGGAAGUCUGGAGUGAAAGGCCGGGGCCCAACCCCGGAACUGCUCUGGAAACUGUAGAACUUGAGUGCAGGAGAGGUAAGCGGAAUUCCUAGUGUAGCGGUGAAAUGCGUAGAUAUUAGGAGGAACACCAGUGGCGAAGGCGGCUUACUGGACUGUAACUGACGUUGAGGCGCGAAAGCGUGGGGAGCAAACAGGAUUAGAUACCCGAGUAGUC